rfam:Astyanax mexicanus Tnplaced_Scaffold2803, whole genome shotgun sequence.
GCUUACGGUCACACUACCCUGAGAACCCCCGAUCUCGUCUGAUCUCGGAAGCUAAGCAGGGUUUGGCCUGGUUAGUACUUGGAUGGAAGACCACCUGGGAAUACCAGGUGCUGUAAGCU